rnacentral:rRNA from 1 species
AGAGUUUGAUCCUGGCUCAGAACGAACGCUGGCAGCGUGGAUUAGGCAUGCAAGUCGAACGAGAACCCUGGGUGUAGCAAUACAUCUGGGGGGACAGUGGCGAAAGGGUGAGUAAUGCGUGGGCAAUCUACCUUUAAGACCGGGACAACCCCGCGAAAGCGGAGCUAAUACCGGAUGUGGUGGUCCGGCGAGUGCUGGAUUGACUAAAGGUGGGGACCUUCGGGCCUGCCGCUUGAAGAGGAGCCCACGUCCCAUCAGCUAGUUGGUAGGGUAACGGCCUACCAAGGCUUACGGGUAGCUGGUCUGAGAGGAUGGUCAGCCACACUGGGACUGAGACACUGCCCAGACUCCUACGGGAGGCUGCAGUCGAGGAUCUUUUGCAAUGGGCGAAAGCCUGACAAAGCGACGCUGCGUGGAGGAUGAAGGCCUUCGGGUUGUAAACUCCUGUCAUCCGGGAAAAACCGUUGUCUGGAGAAUGCCCAGACAAUCUGAUGGUACCGGAAGAGGAAGCCACGGCCAACUCUGUGCCAGCAGCCGCGGUAAUACAGAGGUGGCGAGCGUUGUUCGGAUUUACUGGGCGUAAAGGGUGCGUAGGUGGCGUGGUGUGUCGGGCGUGAAAGCCCACGGCUUAACUGUGGAACUGCGUCCGAAACUGCCGUGCUCGAGUGCAGGAAAGGAGAGCGGAAUUCUUGGUGUAGCGGUGAAAUGCGCUGAUAUCAAGAGGAACACCGGUGGCGAAGUCGGCUCUCUGGAAUGCAACUGACACCGAGGCACGAAAGCUGGGGGAGCAAACAGGAUUAGAUACCCUGGUAGUCCCAGCCCUAAACGGUGUGAACUUGGCGUGGGGGGAAUUGACCCCCCCCGUGCCGAAGCUAACGCGUUAAGUUCACCGCCUGGGGAGUACUGUCGCAAGAUUAAAACUCAAAGAAAUUGACGGGGGCCCGCACAAGCGGAGGAGCAUGUGGCUCAAUUCGAUGCAACGCGAAGAACCUUACCAGGGCUUGACAUGUAGGUGCACGCCCGCUGAAAGGCGGGAAGCCUUCGAGGGUCCUACACAGGUGCUGCAUGGCUGUCGUCAGUUCGUGCCGUGAGGUGUUGGGUUAAGUCCCGCAACGAACGCAACCCUUGUGUCUAGUUGCAACCACGGGUGAUGAAUCCGUGGGCACUCUAGACAGACUGCCCGUGCAAGCGGGAGGAAGGUGGGGAUGACGUCAAGUCAGUAUGGCCUUUAUGCCCUGGGCCGCACACGUGCUACAAUGGCCGGAACAGAAGGAAGCAAAGCCGCGAGGUGAAGCAAAUCCCCAAAACCGGCCCCAGUUCAGAUUGAAGUCUGCAACUCGACUUCAUGAAGCCGGAUUCGCUAGUAAUGGCGCAUCAGCUACGGCGCCGUGAAUACGUUCCCGGGCCUUGUACACACCGCCCGUCACAUCAUGAAAGCCGUCUGCACCCGCAGUCACUGUACCAACCCGCAAGGGAGGAAGGUGCCGAAGGUGUGGGGGGUGAUUGGGAUGAAGUCGUAACAAGGUAAC